rnacentral:rRNA from 1 species
AUACGAAGGUCCCAAGCGUUAUUCGGAAUCACUGGGCGUAAAGAGUACGUAGGCGGUUUGGUAAGUCAGGUGUGAAAUCCCGGAGCUCAACUCCGGAACUGCAUCCGAUACUGCCAGACUUGAGUAAUGGAGAGGCAGGUGGAAUUCUCGGUGUAGCAGUGAAAUGCGUGGAUAUCGAGAGGAAGACCAAUGGCGAAGGCAGCCUGCUGGACAUUUACUGACGCUGAGGUACGAAGGCUAGGGGAGCGAAAGGGAGUAGAAACCCCAGUAGUCC